CAGUCGCCACGGUAAUACGAAGGGGGCUAGCGUUGUUCGGAUUUACUGGGCGUAAAGCGCACGUAGGCGGACUUUUAAGUCAGGGGUGAAAUCCCGGGGCUCAACCCCGGAACUGCCUUUGAUACUGGGAGUCUUGAGUUCGAGAGAGGUGAGUGGAAUUGCGAGUGUAGAGGUGAAAUUCGUAGAUAUUCGCAGGAACACCAGUGGCGAAGGCGGCUCACUGGCUCGAUACUGACGCUGAGGUGCGAAAGCGUGGGGAGCAAACAGGAUUAGAUACCCCCGUAGUCCCUGUCUCUUAUAC
rnacentral:rRNA from 1 species